rnacentral:rRNA from 1 species
CCCUUAGAUGUUCUGGGCUGCACGCGCGCUACACUGAUGCGCUCAACGAGUUUAUGAACUUGCCCGGAAGGGUUGGUUAAUCUUUUUAAAACGCAUCGUGAUGGGGAUAGAUUAUUGCAAUUAUUAAUCUUCAACGAGGAAUUCCUAGUAAGCGCGAGUCAUCAGCUCGUGCUGAUUACGUCCCUGCCCUUUGUACACACCGCCCGUCGCACCUACCGAUUGAAUGGUCCGGUGAAAUCUCGGGACGGCGGCUUGGUCGCUUGCGUCCGACUGCUGAAACUUGAUUAAACCAUAUCAUUUAGAGGAAGGUGAAGUCGUANCA